GCGUGAGUGAAGAAGGCCUUCGGGUUGUAAAGCUCUUUCGGCCGGGACGAAAUCGCUCUUGUUAAUACCAGGAGUGGAUGACGGUACCGGACUAAGAAGCACCGGCUAACUACGUGCCAGCAGCCGCGGUAAUACGUAGGGUGCAAGCGUUAAUCGGAAUUACUGGGCGUAAAGCGUGCGCAGGCGGUUUCGCAAGUCAGAUGUGAAAGCCCCGGGCUUAACCUGGGAACUGCGUUUGAAACUACGAGGCUAGAGUACGGCAGAGGGAGGUGGAAUUCCAAGUGUAGCAGUGAAAUGCGU
rnacentral:rRNA from 1 species